rnacentral:rRNA from 1 species
GACGAACGCUGGCGGCGUGCUUAACACAUGCAAGUCGAACGGAAAGGCCCUGCUUGCAGGGUACUCGCGUGGCGAACGGGUGAGUAACACGUGGGUGAUUUGCCCUGCACUUCGGGAUAAGCAUGGGAAACUGGGUCUAAUACCGGAUAGGAGACAUUUUUAGUGUGAUGGUUGGAAAGUUUUUUCGGUGUUGGCUGAGCUGGCAGCCUAUCAGCUUGUUGGUGGGGUAAUGGCCUACCAAGGCGGCGGCGUGUAGCCGGACUGAGGAGGUGGACGGCCACCGUGGGUCUGAGAGACGGCACAGACACCGACGGGAGGCAGCAGGGGGGAAUAUUGCACGAGGGGCGCAAGCCGGAUGCAGAGACGCCGCGUGUGGGAUGACGGCCUUCGGGUUGUAAACUCCUUUCGCUAGUGACUAAGCAUGUUGUGACGGUACCUAGAUAAGAAGCACCGGCUAACUACGUG